rnacentral:lncRNA from 1 species
CCUUACGUAAGGAUUAUAUUGCCCCCAAUUUUUUUGAAAUACAAGAUGCUCAUUGAAUGAUAAGAAAGCUAUUUCCACUUAGACAAUUUCAGAUAUUCAAGGAUUUCACGUUUUGUUCUAUAUUAAGCAGGUCUAAUUUAGGAAAUUAACGAUAGGCUAACAAAAAAAGACAAUUAGGGAUUCAUUGGAAUUCUCACAUUUAUUCGGAAGAUACUUAUUUCGGAUGGGUCACGCCAACAGGAUGAACCAAAUGAGUUCUGCAUCAUGAACUUUGUACUGCGCACAUUACUUAGAUGGGUUCUAGAAAGGCAUAUAGGAAGN